CAGAUCGUACCCAAAAGUACUUGGAUAACUGUGGUAAUUCUAGAGCUAAUACAUGCUAACAGAGCUCCAACUGGAAACAGGAGGAGUGCUUUUAUUAGAUCAAAGCCAAACGGCGUAUUAUGCUUUCUUUAUUGAUUGCAUAUUCGUCGUACAUUAUAAUGUUGACUCUGAAUAACUUUUUGCUGAUCGCAUGGUCUUGCACCGGCGACGCAUCUUUCAAAUGUCUGCCUUAUCAACUGUCGAUGGUAGGUUCUGCGCCUACCAUGGUUGUAACGGGUAACGGGGAAUCAGGGUUCGAUUCCGGAGAGGGAGCCUGAGAAACGGCUACCACAUCCAAGGAAGGCAGCAGGCGCGCAAAUUACCCACUCCCGGCACGGGGAGGUAGUGACNAAAAAUAACGAUACGGGACUCAUCCGAGGCCCCGUAAUCGGAAUGAGUACACUUUAAAUCCUUUAACGAGGAUCAAUUGGAGGGCAAGUCUGGUGCCAGCAGCCGCGUAAUUCCAGCUCCAAUAGCGUAUAUUAAAGUCGUUGCGGUUAAAAAGCUCGUAGUCGAAUUUGUGUCUCGUGCCGCUGGUUCAUCGUUCGCGGUGUUAACUGGCGUGAUACGAGACGUCCUGCCGGUGGGUUUAGCUGUUUCCAAUUACAUUACAUCUGUUUGUUUCGUAUUUGUAUGGGUGGCUCUAAACACCACUCUGCUAUAUAAUCGGCAAAUGAAUGGUUGGUUGAUUGUGCGGCCCUGUCAUAAAAUCCUGCCGCGUUGCUCUUGACUGAGUGAUGAGGUGGGCCGGCACGUUUACUUUGAACAAAUUAGAGUGCUUAAAGCAGGCAAAAAUUUCGCCUGAAUAUUCUGUGCAUGGAAUAAUGGAAUAGGACCUCGGUUCUAUUUCGUUGGUUUUCGGAACACCGAGGUAAUGAUUAAUAGGAACGGAUGGGGGCAUUCGUAUUGCGACGUUAGAGGUGAAAUUCUUGGAUCGUCGCAAGACGAACAGAAGCGAAAGCAUUUGCCAAUAACGCUUUCAUUGAUCAAGAACGAAAGUUAGANCUUCGAGGCGAUCAGANACCGCCCUAGUUNUAACCGUAAACAAUGUUGACUGACGCUCNGUCGACGUUCCUUUAUUGACUCGACGGGUAGUUUCCGGGAAACCAAAGUUUUUGAGUUCCGGGGGAAGUAUGGUUGCCAAGCUGAAACUUAAAGGAAUUGACGGAAGGGCACCACCAGGAGUGGAGCCUGCGGCUUAAUUUGACUCAACACGGGAAACCUCACCAGGCCCGGACACCGGAAGGAUGACAGAUUGAGAGCUCUUUCUUGAUUCGGUGGGUGGUGGUGCAUGGCCGUUCUUAGUUGGUGGAGCGAUUUGUCUGGUUAAUUCCGAUAACGAACGAGACUCUAGCCUGCUAAAUAGGCGCAAUAAGACAUCGCAAAGGCCAGUCAGUUUGAUUAAUAGAAGUUGAAGUGGCGUUUCGGCGUUUGCUUUGCUUCUUUGUCAGAUUGUGCUUGGUUUUUACUGUCUGCGUAUAAAUAUUUCUUCUUAGAGGGACAGGCGGCUUUUAGCCGCACGAGAUUGAGCAAUAACAGGUCUGUGAUGCCCUUAGAUGUUCUGGGCCGCACGCGCGCUACACUGAAGGAAUCAGCGUGUCUUCCCAGGCCGAGUGGCCCGGGUAACCCGCUGAACCUCCUUCGUGCUAGGGAUUGGGGCUUGCAAUUGUUCCCCAUGAACGAGGAAUUCCCAGUAAGCGCGAGUCAUAAGCUCGCGUUGAAUACUUCCCNGCCCUUUG
rnacentral:rRNA from 1 species